CUGCCGUCUUAGGACUUGAUGAAGCCAGCCUUUCCUUCAGGAUAACGAUGUGGAACGGCAGAUCAUCCCGGGCUGCAAGCAGGCGUGCAGGAGGAGCAGGACACCGGAGCAAACUUGGCUCGAUGGACUGAGGCAGUAUGCGAAUUUAGGAGAAGAUGAGCUUACUUUCUCUUCAGAUUAUGUAUUUUACACCCUAUAAAGCUUUAGGAACAAAUAAGCAAUCAGCGGGAUAAAAUGACUGCACCAGCAGACAAGGAAGGCUGAAGCAGCAGCUGCUCGGGAGCCACCCGCACCCUUCUCAGCACAGAGUGCUACAGACCCACUAGAGACAGAUCCUUUCGGCUCUUCUGUGGAUCCGGUGUAGCCAGCAGGAGCAAAAAUGAGUACCAGUGUAUCCAAACUACCAAGAUCAGCGGAUCUUCCCAACACACAACAGGAAGGAGGCUGAGUAAGCAGUUGCCAUUUUUCAGAUCACUAAUAGCUGCAACAUUACCCAAAGGGAACUAGUAAUACAAUGUGCAGAGUUAGUACAUGUAUGAACUCACUCCCCACCCACCCAAGAGAACAUUCAAGCUCCCUGGAAAGAAGGCAGUGUAACAAACAUUGGUGUUGCUGCCAGCUGAUGUUCUAACAGGAUAUUUCCAACAGGAAAAAAAUGCCAAAUAUCCUCCACUCUGUUAAAGCCAUGUAACGCCAGAAGGAUACAUCCAGCACAGCUUUGCAUCCACUUAGUUUCUAGGGCAAAUCCUUGGCUUGGCAAUGUCAAGACCUUGGCCUUUGGUAUGUGAUAGAGGUCAGGCCCCUCCCUCUAAAGAGGAAGGUUUUUUUGCUUUCAUAAACCAAUUGCCUGGGUCACUAAACCUGCCAUGGCUCUGGAAGACUGCUAGAGAUGAACAACUCACUGACCCUUAGUUUCUUCAUCAUCACAAAUCAUACAAGAUACCUUUUACAAAAGCAAAGAUCCAACAAAGAUCCUUACUGCAGUUCAUCUUGAGAUUAUACUGAAGCACCAGUGAUCUUGUCUACCUUGAAAGAAUAUGUGAGAUGCAGAAACAUAUAGAAGACAUACAUUUCUUACCAGAUUGAUCUUCAAUUCCUAGCUUUUGGAAAAUAAAAAUGAAAAAACCCAACCACCAAUGAAAAAAACAAUGAACCAACCAAAACCCUCAACAAAUCAAGUUAAAAAAAAAAACAAAAAACAAAAAAAAGAAUGGCAAGGUACAGAGAAAGCUGUCCUCAGGGACAAAGCUUACUUAUUCAGAACAUUACUUCUUCCCAUGAAAGAAAGUAAAGUUCUCAUUACUUUGUGGAUGUUCUCAGCCCCAACAUAACAGACAAAGCACGGUCCAAGUGUCUGUGGCUGACUUGUUCUCAGAUUUCUCCCCCUGCCUGAGAGAGUUCAACCAAGAGUCACUGCAGGACAAACACAAAACCAAAAAAGCAAGAAUGCUUUUGAAAUCUGUUAAUCCAGAAAAUUAAAGUGGGGAACUGUAUACCUGUUACCAGCAGUUACACUUAACACAUGGGAAAUGCACAGCAAGAACCCACUCCCAUAAGGUGAUCAGCUGCUUUAGUGUCUACCAACUUCACUGCAAAUUGCAGGUGUAAUGCUGGCAGUGGAGCUGUACACCACACAGUAUGCUGUCUCGAGAAGAAAAUUACUGGGUCUCAGCAUAGUGGAAUAUACAUUUUAUUUCUUAAAAAGGAAGGGUACUAACAGAAUUUAAUACAGUCAAAAUUUUACAUUUUAAACAAAAGCUUUUCUUUUUCUUAAAAACCAGUUACGAGCAGAGAGGUGAGAGGAUUUAAACUACUCACAAAAUCCAAGCCGAAGACUUUGAGAAUUCAAAUCUGUGGUUUAUACAUUUAAAAAAGUGUAAUAAAUGGAAAUAUAAAAUAAUACCAACUCUGUAAUAGUGAAAUGCCCUUUCCUCAUUAGAUUGCUGUUUAAGCACCUUUAUUUUCACCCAUCAGCUGCCAGGAGUGUUUAGGUUUAUGUACAAAAUAAGCAGUUUGGGACAGAAGAUUCAUAUAGAAAUUAAAACCAUUUAUGGCAAUACAGUUUUACCCAGCCGCUUUACAAACUUUAUUAUCUCUUUCACUUCUGUGGAAUUUUUCAGUCAGGAUGAUCUCAAAUGCACUUGAUGGACUGCUUCAAAAAGCAGCUACAUAUACAGGAAUUAUAUAGACAACCUCAAGGAGUAGACAUCCAAGAGAUUAAACAACUUAACACACAGUAAAACUAAGAUCAGAUUUAUAUCUUAUAUAAAUACUGUGCAGAUUUAUUAUCCAUCCCACUGAAUGAAUGGGACAGAUCAGUGUCACAUCUGAAGACAAAAAAAUGCUUUUAUCCAAGAGGCAACAGAAUUUCAGGCCAAAUAUAGCAGAUAGGAGUUCCCUCAAAUUAUUUAGUUAAAAACUGUAUGUGUCUGAAAAAGCUUUACAAGAACAGAGUUUUCAGAAUAACUUGCACAUUUGCUUAGCUGUUUCAUAGCUAUUUUACAGCCUAGAGACACUGAGAGAGGAGGAAAAAAAAUAGAUGAAAAUAAAGACAAGCUGUUUUCUCUGCCCACUACGAAAGCUGUGGCUUUGUCGUUUAUGGAACACUGCAGACAUAGCUGUUACCAGAGAGGAGACUGCUCCAGUACAGCAUUAAAGACAAAGUUACAUUAUGGCUGGAGAAAGUGUCAUUACAGGCUAAUCUCUUUACAUGAAGGCUGAUGGAUUAAUCUCACCUCCUCCUCAAAACCCAAGCAUUCAGACUUCCUAGCAGACUGCUCAUGAUUCUUACUCCACUGUUUUCUAUUUUUUUUAACACAAGAUAGGAAAAGGUCAUGAAAGCUGAUGAAAGGUCCAGCUGUGCAGCAUCCAGUGAACAUGUACUCAGCAAAACCAAAAGUCAUUAAUCACUUUCUCUCUCUUUCUCUCUCCACACCACAACAGGAAACCCGUGUCAUCUAUGUACAUAAUGGAACUAAUAAAGAUGUAGACUAUCUAGGUCACAAAUGAGCUUCAGUAACAGUCACUCACUGUUGCACUGCAACUUGCUGCAGUCUGGCUGAAGGGUGGAGACAGAUCUGUUUGAGCCAAAAGAGAGAAUAGUUAAAAAAACCACACCCAAAAAAAACCACCCAGCUUUGGUUUUCCUCAGUCACUAAAGUUUACAAAUAAUUUAAUAAUGCUACUCACAAACAAAUCAACUGUCCAGCUAACAGGAUGGGAAGAGUACAAAUGAUGAAUGUAAUCAGUGACUACUGUUAAAGAAAGACUGGAAGAAAAUCAGUUCCCUCAAAAUCUUAGUUUCUCUGCUUAAGUAGCUCAUUAUUAUUUUUAAAACAUUUUUUGUUGAUAGAAAGCAUCACAACUAGACUAGAAUUCCACAACAUCAAUCUUUGUUUUGAUUUCUGUAGUUCUCUAGGAAAGAAAUAAUCCCAAAUCAAGCUACAUGAAGCAUUAACAAUAUUCAGAUAUUACAAUGGAAGCACUUAUUUAUUACUUCAUAGAACAGAUUAGUUUUAAAAGUGUAUUUACAUGUUCUAAGUUAUACAAAAUACAGUAUUCCAAUAAUCAUGUUAAUCACCAUAUUUCAGACAACUUCACAUAAAAGUGCGGAGGAUGCAUCCAUCCCUGAUCCUGGCCAGUAGCGAGCGGUCACCCCAGUGUGACAGGUGAGAGCUGCUAUUGUUCCCCCUCGGGAAAACAAAUCCCACCAUCCCUUCUCACUGAAACGUAGCUGCACAUCUAGGAAAACAUUCAGGCAGGUACACGAGCAAGGUUUGUUGAGACCCACAGACCAAAAUCACAUGCCUUAAUUUACUAGACGUAUGUGAAGUACAUUUUUAAGUUUUUUACAGAUGUUGUACAGCAAAGGGCUUCUGCUCAUGCCUUAGUUAGGAAAAUGAAGUAACAAGGGUUUUAGCUAUAUAACAGGCACCCAAAUUACACUUAAUAUCAACAGCCCUAUAACUACAACUGGAUAGUGUGUUAAGGACACAAUUCUGCAGCUGACUGCCUGGGCAGAGCUUCACAUUCAAGAACAGAUCCUGUGAAGUCCACAUGGUUGUCUAUAGAUAAAGGGCUCUUCCCAUGCAGAAAUGACAGCAGAAUUGAGACCUUAAAAGAUUGGGGCCUCAGAUAGUAGUUUCCUUGUGAGACAGCACUGACCAGUUUACAUUGGCAGGUCAAGCCCCAGCACAACAGCACACUUAGUUGAAACAACAGCUAUUUUUUCAUGCCUUUCUGCAGUAACUCUCCUCCAUAUCUGUAUACUCCUUUCACUUCCUUCUGGACUGUGGAGACAAGCAGAUUCCCAAGACAUAAACAAGUACUUAUCUUCAGUAUGAUGCUAAACUGAGGGGAUUCAAAUUGGCCUAAAAUUGUAAACAGCGAGGUGUCAGUUUAAGCAAUCUCAUUCAAGUCAGAUUCUUGCAUUACUCUCCUCUUCCUCUUUUAUUCUUUGCUCUCCUUGCCAAGUAUCUAUGUCUGUCUAUAUAUUUAUCUUCCUCAAAGGAUUCCUUUUUCCCUGUAGGUGUCUGAACUUCAAGAAGUUUGCGUUCCAAAAGUGACUCAUGACGGAUAGCAGACUAUCAAACUAACAAAUUAUAUCUGUAUGACAAUUUGCAGCAUCAUGAGUUAAAUCACUGUGAUUUCUCAAUUAACAUUAUGUUAGCAUCUCUACAGAUAUUUAGUUAAGCCUAUUCUUUCUACCUUUCUCUCAGUCUUCAACUGUGAGUUUAGCUAUCUUCACCAUGUUACAGUGGCAGAUAUACACACCAGAGUAAUUAUUUGAAGAUCUAGAACGCCAGUCAGUAGUGCUGCAAAGGCAAAACGCUAGCACUAACAAAUGAUUUUGAUCUUUAUGGAUUUAGGUGUAUGUUGCCAAAAAUAUGAGAUUUCUGCACUAAGAUAAAUUUACAUUUCUCAUCUUGUGCUUAGCAGCUAAAACUAGAAAGGUGAACAAAAGCCUAUCUGGAUUUUACAAAGGUCCAAGAUACCUUCUCUCUCACUAAAAAUGAAAGUACCUGAUCACAAGGAACAAAGCCCUUCUAUGCUCAGGUGGCCUACAAUACUGAAGCAGCAGUAUUCUCCUCUGUGCAGGUCCAUUAUUUUUAAUAUCUACAAAUUAUUUUUUUUUCCAUGUAAGUGGUUUUAUUACAGUAUUCCCAAAGCUGCUGGCCUUCCACUGCACCUCCCAACUUGAAAUGGGUUUGGUACAAUUAGUAGCAGGCCUGCAAAUAAUGCUGAAAGUGAUUUCUAGUUAGAACAACCUUGGGCUUUCAAACAGCACAGCAAGGAAAUGGAGAAUUAUCAGAAAAGACAUAAAAUGUUACUACAAAAAGCUGCUUAGCAAAAAACCAAACAACCCAAAAACAUUUCUUCUCCAACACAAGUACGCUACUUUUUCACUCUGUCCAUGCAGGACCAAAAAAAAAAAAAAAA